UUUUAGUCGUUUACUAGUUAUUAAUCUUUCCAAAUUAUAAACAGAGUCAUCCAGUCAUCUGGAUUUGGAGUGGCUCCUGUCCACUCUGUUUGACGCCUCCCUGUUAAAGACUUCGAGCCGCGGUAACGCGGCUCUUUUUUU
rnacentral:sRNA from 19 species